CUAGGGAAUUCCGAAUAAUUCCCAGACACCCAACGUUAUUUCAAAGAAUUCCCAGAAAUUAAAAGGAAUUUCGUUUUUUUUCCAUUUGUCAACUUUCUGUUUAACGUGCUACAUCUUAUAUUACCCAAAUUUAUUUUUGAAUAUUGAAUUUUAAUGGAAUUCCGAAGAAUUCCAAAGAAUUUCGGAGGAAUUGCGAAGAAUUUCCAAGCACUCCAAGGAAUUUCGAAGAGUUCCCAGGAAACAAAAUAGAAUUUUCGAAGAAUUCCCAGGAUUUCUAAGGAAUUUCGUAAAUUAUAAGGAUUUAUAAGCAAUUCCGAAGAAGGAAUUAGUGCGCCCGCUGUCAGCGGGAGAAAAACGCAGGAAAACUUCUUCGGCAUAGAAAGUGGCAGUAAUUUUGAGCGUAUCUGUUAUAAGGUUGUCUAUUGCGAAUAUUUUUCGUGGAAACGUCGCUAAUUAAACACCUUGCCAAUUAUAAUGGGCUCCGCCUUCCGCUUUUACGUUGAAUAAUUAAUCGUCGACAAUUACGUCCGAAUAUGGGUCGCGGCAGCAUUUCUUCGGCACUACUUUGUUUUUCUUACGCGAGUUAAUUGGACGCCAGAUUGUGGCGCGUAAUUAAAUCGCAAGGGUACACACAGAAACCGUUCGGUUUGCGAAAUUUCGAACAUUUAAUGUUAAACUAAUUAAUGGAAAACUCAAAGUUCUUUGAUUUACUUAAUCAAUUGAGGAAAAAAAUCAUUACUUUUGUUUCCAGCGCACAUUUUUAACGCCCCCGUGUGGUACAGAACGAACAUUUCAGCCCUCGACGAAUUCAAAUAUGGAAACAAUGGAAAAUUAAUCUCUGAAAAACCUAACCUCAUCUUUAGCGGUUUUCGAGAAAUUAAUUUUCCCCCUUUUUCCUGUUAAAAACAUAGCUCCCCUAUUUGAGAGUCAUACCAUAAGCGAAUAUACAGGGUUCAAAAUAAGUAACAACACUAAAAAAAACUAAUUGUCAGUGUUAAUGUAUAAAAUAUUCUUUUUAUUAAUAGUUUCUCGUUUUCAAACAUAUUUUUCAGUAACACGUCAUUAUUUAAAAAAAUAUAUUUUCGUCCUGUUUUUUCGAAAUUAAAUAAAGAGUUGAUGAGUUGAUUUAGUUGAUUUACAAUCACCUAAUGCUACAAAUAAAGUAAAAAAAUGAACAAAAUUGAAUUUUGAGCUUAAUUUUCAAAACAACUUUAUACUAAUAUGUAUUUCUGAAAAGCUUAAAUGAUUUCCAAUUAAUAUAAAAAAUAAUCUACAGAAUGUUUCCACUUAUAAAAUAUAUAGGUUAAAACAAUCAAAAAAGCAAACUACGCCACUGGAUUCCACGGGAAUAACCCUUAAGAACGUUGUUUUAAACUUUUCGAUAACUUAAAAGACAACGCAGAUACGAGGGUGGUUUUCAAAUAUAUUUUUCUGUAUUUUCAUACAUUGCCAUUAUUAUAGAAAAUUGAUUAAAAUGAAAUAAACACAGAAAGAACAACUGGAUAGGUAAUUAAAAAAAAACUGGCAACCUCGUAAGUAUUUGACAUAUUCGCUUUUUUGUUUUUAAUGGAUGGGUCAUAGCAACCUAUCUAGUUGACAGUACAAUAAAAUAAUAUUUAUGAUAUUAAUAAAAUAUGGUUAUUCAAAAAAUAUGUUUAGAUGUAUCUUAUUUUUAGUUGAUUUAAGUCUACUGCUACAAAUAAAGUUAAAAAAUGAACAAAAUUGAAUUUUCAGCUUAAUUUUCAAAAUAACUUUAUACUAAUACGCAUUUCCGGAAAGCUUAAAUGAUUUCCAGUUAAUGUAAAAAAUUGUAUGAAAAAUAAUGUACGGUGUGUUUUCUUCAUAACUAAGAAACGGAAAGUAAAAAACAAACAAACUACGCCAACUGGAUUCCACGGGAAUAAUCCUUAAGCACUCAAAAGAGAACGUAGAUACGAGGGUGGUCAAGAUGCGACAGUUUGGUUGGGACUUUCUUUCCCGAAAUACUACAUAUAGGCGGGCGACGUCCGCCACUGGCGCUGUAACUGUCCGCGUCGCAAACCGAUUCGAAAAAGUCGAACGGGGGCAGCGCGGAGCGGCGAGUACCUGCCGGUACCAUUUCCCGCGACGCCUCCGGCGCUGCGACGUUGCCGGCUUGUCGAGGUUCCCCUCGACGGAAAAAAUGCGUGGCGUCGGAGGUCCGCGCGCCCCCGGGCGAUCGUGAUAGAUCGAUAAACAUUAUUAUUUAACAAUUUAACAAAGUUGGCGGCCUUGGGCGGCGAAAACAAUCGAUGCCGUUGCCGGAACGACGAACGUCCCAAGUAAAUAACUAACUGAGGGCGACGCGAUGACGUUUUAACACUUUUAACGGUUUUUUGUUCGUAACAGAAGAAGAAUUAGGUUAUGUGACGGGGCGACGAGGAAACGCGUAAUGGCGAAUAAUGGCGGUUUCCUCGGAUGCGGGCAUCGACACAAAAAAAAGAAGAAGAACUCGGUUACGAAGCAAUCUGCGAUCUCUUGAGGAAACGAAAGGAAAAAGUAUGAAAUGUCCUCAAGUUAACGUAGAAUGUUCCAUCAUACCACUCUAACGAGAGGGUGAUGGUCCCUUCGAGUCCCUUUUAAUUAAGGCAUCCUCGCAAGGAAGUCAGUCACCAUUCAAAGAGGAAAUGGCCGAAUGAUCCUGGCAUACGUGGCCAAUAGCAGUCAAAGAAAAGUGAUCAACUAUUGAACCAGGUGACGAUUUUUUAAGUGACUGAUACUUUGUUAUUAAUAUUGUAUAUAUUAAUAAUGAUACUAUGUAUUUUGUACUAAUUUAAUUAAGUACAUGUUUCAAGAAUUGGUCGGCGAAAAAGAUUGAAAACAUACUUAUUUCCCGCUUGUUAGUGUAGGUAGAUAAAAUCCUAGGAUAAGGGUCUGUUCGGGAGUGUGUUCUAUAAGGGCCCGCGGUUUUGGCGUAAUAAACAGUAGGCAAAGUUGUAUCGGAGCUCCUCUUCUUUAAAUAUUUUUAGGUUUUGUGGUGAAUACGGUGAUGGGUACUUCGAAUGACUUUUAAUAUAAUCAUUUUAAUCGAGAAAUUAAAGUGACGUUUCUACAGACCGCAGAAAGAAAAUAUUCACGUUGCGCCUCAUGCGACACCGGUUUAGGAAAUCAAAAAAAUAUACAGGGUCUAUUUUAAAAAGAAAACUUCAUACGAAAACAUGUCCUAAACGUCUUAAUUUUUGAGAUAGAGAAUACCACCUUAGAUUCAAUUCAAUGAUGCGUUUCACAGAUAGCUGUUGGGCACGACUACCAGGAUCAUUCGCCCAUUGACCACCUUAGAUAUUUUAAUGAAAUUUGGCCCACACGUCAAGAGGCAUUUUGGUUAUUCUAUUUGGCAGGCAUUGAUGCUACGCCACUGAUUUUUUUAAAAUAAAAAUUAUUUUUACAAUCCAAAAUCGUUUCUAAAGGAAGGGAGUUUUUAAAGCUUUUUUUUUUGAACUGAGGUCGCUUUUAACUUGAUGAAAAUCCAAUUAACAAAAUAAAUAAGAACAAAAAGUUCAGAUUUUCACGAAAUUACACAUUUUCCCAUGACAAUUUUUUCCACGACAGCGUGUCUUUAUCAAAUGUAAUAUUUACAAUAAAAUGACCAUAAAACCUUAAUUAAUGUUGUUGUGAGAAUUUAAGUUCAAAUCUAAUUGAACGUUAAGCAAUACAUUUGAAUAUCUCAUUUUGUUAAUCUCCAUGGCUUCCAAUAAAUUUCAUUUUCUACUUUUUGUGGCUGAAUGUAAAAUAUCGUUAAUGCGUUUCUUGAAGGAUCUACCCGUUUGUCCAAUAUAAGUUUUAGGACAAGAUCCGCAAUUCAACCUGUAGACACCGGAUCUUUGGGAUUUUGGACUUUUCGAUUUAUUAUUUUUUAAGAUUUUAAACGAAAAUUUGCAAUAAAAAGUUCUUUUGAAUUAAUCAACAAAAUUAAAGAUAUCAAAAUCCCUUCAAACGCAGCACUAUUUUCUUUUGAUGUACAAAACUUAUUUCCCAGCAUUCCACCUAUGGAUGUGAUAGAUUAGAUUUCACCCUCACUCGGAAACAGGUGAACCCAUUGGUGAAACAAGAUUUAUUAGAUUGCAUAAUAGCAUCUUUAGACCAAAAUGAAUGAAUUUGAAUUUAAUAGGCAGAUUUACAUCUCUAAUGAAGGUUUGAUUAUGGGAAACCCACUUAGUCCUUUGUUAGCCGAGAUUUUUAUGGAUAAUUUGGAACAUCUCUUAAGUAAAAGUUUUCUAUGGUGGUAUAGGUACGUGGAUUAUGUCUUAGCUUGCUUUGUUGGAACGGACAAACAAUUGAAUUCUUUUUUAAAUUACAUUAACGUAUUACAUAAUCAUAUAAAAUUUACUAUCGAGAUUGAACAGGAUAACUAUUAAUUUUUUAGACUGAACUAUCACGAAAACGCAAAACAAAUUAGAGUUUUCCAUUUACCAUAAACCUUCACACAAGGACACAAUCAUAGAUAACAGCUCAACUCACCCUUAUACACACAUUUGCAUUGCAUUUCACUCUUUUAUACACCGACUUCUUAAUACGUCACUCCCAACACAAAAUUACAUAAAAAAACUUAAAAUCACUAAGCAAAUUGCACUGAAAAACGGCUACAAUCCGUCCAGCGAUGAAAUUAUAAAUAAAAAACAAAUCCAGACAACAGUAAACUAUUUAUCCGAAACCUAAUACAGAACACGAACAAUUUAAAGCAAUUACAUACAUAGGAGAACCCAGUGAAAAAGUUUCAAAACAUUUGUCAAAAUGUGGUUUAAAAAUAGCUUUCCGAACUGACAACACAGUAGGAAAAUUUUUAAAAAACAAUAAAACGAAGUGUCCAAAAAAUUUAUAUUUGACAAACAGGUAGAUCCUUCAAGAAACACAUUAACGAACAUAAAAGAGCGUCUAGAUUCUAAUUAUGCUACGAAACAACUUGCUGCUACAAACCAAAAUAGACCAUCCAAAAUAUAUGUAGAGAGUUUUGCGCAAAAGCUUUUUAUAUAAAAAUAUAUGGUUUUUAAUAAUAAACUCAAAUUAGUUUCAAAAACUGCAAAAUGCAUCUGCAUAUAUUGGAAAUAGUACUAAAUGUUAACAAAAAUUGAAGUUGUUGAAUUUUUUUAAAUUUGCGAUGCUCAUAUGUUUUUAUUGAUACACCUCAGAAGAAAGUAGCCAAAGAAAACACGCAACUUUCGUGCAAACAUUUUUUGCCAUUGCCCUGUUACUAACCUCUGUCGAUAUGUAUCAAAAUAUAAAUGAAAUCCUUGUUCACAAGACAUUUUUUAAUUCACAACCGUUUUACUACUUUAUAAUUUUCUGAUUUUCUGAUUAAUAAAAAUUUCGUGAAAAUCUGAACUUUUAGUUCAUAUUUAUUAAGUUUUUAAAGCCUUUUUAAAACAGAAAAGAAAAAAAAUCAAAUUCUACUCCCUGUCGCUAACGAACGAACUAUAGGCGUCGCGGCGCCAAAUUCGAGCGUCACGACUUUACCGGCGGACUCGUCAUUUACGACCGGACCGCGGGGACCUAGUUUUCUCUAAACGUACCGUCGACACCGCGAUGGUGGUAGGCGCUGUUGGUACGUUGACCUUUCCUUCAGGUAGAUACAGUUAUUUACAUGUCCGGAGCGGCGACACGCGCUAUACAGGGCGUCCCCGAAAAUUAAAAUGGCGAAAGACUCUGCGGCGACACAUAGCAGUAGUAUAUGGUACCGCGCGUUCGAUUUAUCUUGACAACAUUUUAAUUGGCUGAAACUUUUUUGUUUUUAGAGAUAUCAAGGUGAACAAAAAAACAAAAUGUAGGGUUAGUAGCCAAGUGACGUAUAAGACGAAACACCAUCAAUUUUCUGACAUAUAAGCCUGCAUCGUAUUUUUUUAAACGGAACACCCUGUAUAUUAUAUAUGUGUCUAAUAAAAUAUCCUAUUCCGAUUACAACGAUGUAACACACUUCGUAUUUUAGUCCACUCCUUUCGUCGUCCACUUCUUUUGUCGUGACACAACAAGAAUAAUUAUUUACAAACUAAAAUAGAACAAAAACUAUAUAAAUUAUGUACCGAUAAGGGUUAUACAUGGAACGUAUCAUGAAUUUUCUUGGAGGUGCUUCACCCUUACGGCGCCACUCCAUUGAUUCUUUUUUCGAUAGAGGAUCAUAAUAGAGAACCAUAGUUUCAUCUCCCGUCACAAUAGUUUCUAUCACAGGCUUCGGUUCCGACCCAAAGAAUUCCAAAAAAGACCGCGCACACUCGACACGGCGUUGUUUUUGAAUAGCCAAAUGGUUUUUAGGAACCCAUCUUGCACUAACCAUACCUAAAUAAUCAUGCAGGAUUCGACGAACACUUGUAUCAGAAAGCUUAGUAAUUUCUGAGAUUUCCUUGACCUUUAAACGUCGAUCACUCAAUACCACCGCUUCCACAAUCGCAACAAUAUCUUCAGUUGCCCAUUCCAUCACUACAGAAUACUAAGGAGAACUUUGGCCGUACACAUCAUCCAGCUUUUCUUUAAUAAUUUUUUUGGCGCUAACCUCGUAACUGAUGAUAGGACGCAUCUGAAAAUGUAACCUUAAAACUGGCCGAGGACCUCGUGGGUACGUUACGCCCCAAUCGAAAUUUUAUUCCUCAAGAGAUAAAGAAUGCCAAAUUAGCAAGAGGCGAAAUCAUUGCCAAGGAAUCUCCAGAGGGUGUAACGAACAUGCCAUUUGGGAACGGGAACUGUGGUUACCAAAAAUAGGCAAAAAAUUGAAAAAAUAAAACCCAAAUGUAUCGUCGAUUAUGACGGGGUCAAGUCUUCAGUCGAUGUUAGUGACCAGUUGGCGUCCUAUUAUAAGCUCUUAGAAGAUGUAAUAAAUGAAAUAAUUUGGAGUACUGGACUGACAAAGUGUGGUUUCGUCGCUACUAGAAGUACCAACUUUCCCUGAUGACCAAACUGCCCAAACUACAAGUAGGAGAAUUAAGGCAAAUGUAACGCACCCAUGAACAGGAAAAAAGAGCUAGAUGUUCUAUCUGCUACCAGUUGCAUGGCAAAAAAGGAAAAAUAGUCGAUGGGGUAAAAAAAACGGCUUCUCGGGUUAUCACUGCUUGUGAUCAAUGCGAAGAGUGUCCUCAUUUUUGUAAGAUUUGUUUUAACAAAAAUCAGUAAGAAUGUUGAUCAGUUGUUUUAUUUUGAUAUUCUUUAAGAAUUUUUAGAUUUUUGAAUAAUAAUAAUAAUGUUUUUUUUUUAAUUAUAAGUGUUUUUAUGUAAUAAAUUACAUAAAACUACUUCGCAUAUUAGUUUUUUUUUCAUUUUCGCUAUUAACCCAUGGUACUGACCAAAAAUGUUAAUAAGUAGAGUUGGUGCGCCCUAGAGAUACACCACGAAUACAUGUGGCCUGUCGUGACAGUGCUAGGUGUAUCGCUAGCGAUAUUUCAGAACAGGUUCGAAGGGAACUUAGGAAAUAAAGGCAAAACAUGGCGGAAUAAACAUUUAAAAAGCGCCAAGGGGAGACGGUUCCCCGGAAUGCCAGGGUCCUCGUAACAAAUUACUAACCGUGGCGGCUGAAAUGGAUUUCUCUGCAGAUAUCGUCGCAAUUUAGGCGAAUUUUGCGACAUAAACGGAGUUGUUAAACCUGUGUCUAUCUUCGCCAUCGAGUAGUUACUAGCGCUACAGUGUGAGCCAACGUUCUAUAAGCAAUGAUACUUACUGGUUGUGGAUUAUCUUAAACGUCCAGGAAAAUCUAUAAAACAGGAAUAAAUAAACAUGUACAGCACUUCCUUAUAUUAACAUUUAUUAGAAAAAUAUUGAUCAAGAAAAUAAAAUAAAAAACAAUUUUUAUUUCAACUUACCGUUACUGUUGGUUGUUAAGAAUUCCCCGUACUCCUCUGUGUUCUCACUGCAGAAAAAACAUUCAAAACAAUAACAACAGGCAAACAACCGCUUGCGUCAAAGUCACAAAUUCCAACCAGAUCAGCUCAGCCGAGCAAAUAACUUUGUUUUUACUUACCUUCGAUAGACUAUGCGAAAUAUCCACAAAAUUAUAUACGAAGCGGUUGAAAAUACAGUCCUUUUACACAAAUAUUCUAUUGCAAAAACAAACAAAUUAAAAUGACUCUCUAUGCUUUCUCCUCACGAGAAGCGAAAUCGGAAGAAGAAUUCCCUUAAACUUCUUCAAAUACAUUGAGGUUAUGUGGCGAGUAUACAAGUGGGUACGGCCGUAUCGUGCUGCGUCCGUCUUACGUCUUACGUACAUCACGUAAAUAGCGUGCUGGCGGUUUGCGAGAGAACGAAAAACUCUGCGGAUUGAAUUUUAGAAUUUUGCGGAUUCGAUCGUGAUCUAGCAAUAUGCUAGAGGAAGAGAAAGUUCAGCGUAUGGAACGCGAGCUAUCGAGCGUACGGUACAGUUUAGGCAUACAUUAGACGGGGAACUUUUAACGUUCCUUCGAUUUAAUAGUAAAUUAUAUUAAAAUCGAAGUCUUUCUUCGUGGUUUGGGUGGAAUAAGCUUCUCACUUGGGCUUCGCGUUCCAAAUUUGACCUGCCAGAGAAGGUUAUUUACUUGGUAUUAAUCUUGGUAAAACAGGUCAUUAUAUGUUAAGAUUUUUCUUAAAAUUCAUUGUUGUUGCUCUUUGUCGAUUGUUGUAUUGGUCUUCCACGUCCAUUUAUCGCUGUCUGCAUUAUCUACCGACUUUUAGUAUACUCCGACUCGCGAACUAUCGCAUUGGUAAAAGAGAUUAGUAAAAGGGCCAUUUUAAAAGUGACA